rnacentral:rRNA from 1 species
GACGAACGCUGGCGGCGUGCUUAACACAUGCAAGUCGAGCGGUAAGGCCCUUUCGGGGGUACGACGAGCGGCGAACGGGUAGGAGUAACAACGUGGGUGGACCUCGCCCUUACGUCUCUGGGAGUAAGACCUCGGGAAACGUAGGGUCGUAAUACCGGAUAUGACUCCAUGACGCAUGUUGUGGGGUGGGAAAGACCUUGUGCGGCUA